rnacentral:rRNA from 1 species
UACAUGGGGUGCAAACGUUGCUCGGAAUCAUUGGGCGUAAAGGGUGCGUAGGUGGCAUGGUAAGUCGGAUGUGAAAUCCCGGGGCUCAACCCCGGAACUGCAUUCGAUACUGCUGCGCUAGAGUACUGGAGAGGAGAUUGGAAUUUACGGUGUAGCAGUGAAAUGCGUAGAUAUCGUAAGGAAGACCAGUGGCGAAGGCGGAUCUCUGGACAGUUACUGACACUGAGGCACGAAGGCCAGGGGAGCAAACGGG